GUUUUGGUCCUAAACUUGCCAUUGUUUUUUAUCAAAUUUACACAUGCAAGCUUCAACACCCCGGUGAGAUUGCCCAAAACCCCCUAAUAGCUAUAAGGAGCUGGCAUCAGGAUAACAGAACAACUCUAGCCCAAGACGCCUUGCUACGCCACACCCACACGGGAACUCAGCAGUGAAUAACAUUAAAACAUGAGCGAAAGCUCGACUUAGUUAUGAUAAAUAUGGCCGGUAAAUUUCGUGCCAGCCACCGCGGUUAUACGAAAGGCCAAAAACAAUGACCCACGGCGUAAAGCGUGACUAAAGCAUGUCAAACACUUAAAGAAAUACUACCUCAAAGUUGUAAAAUACCUUGACCGUAAGACCUUCAACAGCAAAGUGACUUUAAACAUUAGACUCCUUACCUCACGAAAGCUAAGAAACAAACUAGGAUUAGAUACCCUACUAUGCUUAGCCCUUAACAUAGACAGUAGACAUACAAUACUGUCCGCCAGAGAACUACAAGUGAAAAACUAGAAACUCUAAGGACUUGGCGGUGCCCCACACCGACCUAGAGGAGCCUGUCCUAUAAUCGAUAAUCCACGCUAUACCUCACCACCCCUUGCAAUUCAACCUAUAUACCGCCGUCGUCAGCCUACCUUAUGAAAGAAACAAAGUAGGCAAAAUAGUUAACAACUAAAACGUCAGGUCAAGGUGUAGUACAUGGGAUGGCAGAGAUGGGCUACACUUUCUACCACAGAAUACACGAACAGCACAAUGAAAUACAUGCUUGAAGGCGGAUUUAGCAGUAAGAUAAACAAGAAAAUCUAUCUGAAACCCGCUCUGGGGUGCGCACACACCGCCCGUCACCCUC
rnacentral:ncRNA from 1 species